CAUUCCUUUUCGAGGCGGUUGAGUGGGUCGUCUGCAAUAUGAAAUCUACAGCUGGACUGGUAUUGCUCCUCAUUGUUUCUCAAGGAGUGAGUGAGCCUUGUGAUGGCAGAAAAGAAGGUGCUGAGUGUUAUGGACAACUGGAUGGAGAAAUAGAAAUUAAAUUGAUGGACAUAACCCCCCCAAAUUUUAAUUGGAAUAAAGGAAAAACAAAUAUUUAUAAAUGGAGGAAUGGUAGUCCGCGAAACAUUUUAUCACCCUCAAAAGUAAACUUCGAGUCAAGCAAGGGGACAAUGAAGAUAAUAAACCUGUAUAGGAAUGAUAGUGGGAGCUAUACUGUUACAAUGUUUGACGACCAAGGGCAGCAACCAAAGAACCUGACAAUGGAGCUCAUCAUUCAAGUGUCAUCAAUAAGUGAAAAGCCCAUGGCACUGUGGCUAACCUCCCUAGACGUGGACGGAAAAGAAAAAUUGAUGAGAGAUUUCAACGAAAGAUUUGCGGAUGGUGGAUAAAGAACCUCAACUAACUUCCAAACAUUUUCAAGAUGUCCUGCAGUCUGAGGGUACAACAGUGUCAACCCGUACUAUCCGUCGACGUCUGAAUGAAAAGGGACUCUAUGGUAGGAUGCCCAGGAAGACCCCACUUCUGACCCAGAGAUAUAAAAAAAAGCCAGGCUGAAGUUUGCCAAAACGUUCCUGAGAAAGCCAAAAACGUUUUGGAAGAAUGUUCUCUGGUCAGAUGAGACAAAAACAGAGCUUUUUUUGGGAAAAGGCAUCAACAUAGAGUUUACAAAAACAAAACAAAACGAUGCUUUCAAAGAAAAGAUCACGGUCCCCACAGUCAAACAUGGCGGAGGUUCCCUGAUGUUUUGGGGUUGCUUUGCUACCUCUGGCACUGGACUGCUUGACCGUGUGCAUGGCAUUAUGAAGUCUGAAGACUAACAACAAAUUUUGCACCAUAAUCUAGGGCCCAGUGUGAGAAAGCUGGGUCUCCCUCAGAGAUCAUGGUUUUUCCUGCGGGACAAUGACUCAAAACACCCUUCAAAAAGCACUAGAAAAUGUUUGAGAAAAAGCACUGGAAACUUCUAAAGUGGCCAGCAAUGAGUCCUGACCUGAAUCCCACAGAACACCUGUGGAGAGAUCUGAAAAUGGCAGUUUGGAGAAGGCACCCUUCAAAUCUCAGAGACCUGGAGCAGUUGGCCAAAGAACAAUGGUCUAAAAUUCCAGCAGAGCAUUGUAAAAAUCCCAUUGAUGGAUACCGGAAAUGGUUGUUUAUAUUUUGUCUAAAGGUUGUGCUACCAAGUAUUAGGGGUGCCAAUACUUUUGGCCAGCAGUGUAUAUACGAAGGCAGUUUUAAAAUAGGCCAUUAAUUGAAGGUGCGCCUUUUACUCCGAUGCGCCUUAUAGUGCGGAAAAUACGGUAAUCAUAUUAUAGUGUCGCCUGUCAGAUUUGGCCACUGGACGUCAGGUUUGACAGCUGUGCUUUAUGUUGACAUUAAGAGUUUUGGUCGCACGUUUCUCUCAGCACCUGUCACCGAUGUCCGGGUGGUCCCCAAGUGUGUGGAUGGCGGAGAGAUGUUGGUAUCUUGCACCUCAAAAGGGGACAAUCUUCAAUACAGCUGGAGCUUAAACGGUAAACAAUUGCCGUUUCAAGCAAGCAACAUCACUCUGAAUCGAGACAAAACAGGACAGCUAGUUUGCCAUGUUAAAAACAACGUCAGUGAAAAAAAGAAUGAAGUUCGUGUAUCUUGUGUCUUCAUUAAAUGCAGCCAAAAUGGAACACUCAUAUCUGACUGGUUUCCCAACACCAUUAAAAUCCUUUGUGAUAAACCCAUUCUGGAAUACGAUCCUCCUCAAAUUAUAGAUUAUUUGCCUAUAAUGGGCGGCAUUCUCUCAGCACUGCUCUUGGUUUUAAUACUUGUAUUAGCAGUUGCCUACAUACAGAAGAAAAAACAAAGUGGGACCAAUGAUGAACAGGAAUUGACGUACGCCGACGUCAGGAUCGUUAAUCAGCCGAGGAGGUCAAUCCAAGUCAAAAAAGAUUUGGAGAUAGAGUACGGCCAAGUGAAGUUUUCCGAGCGAGCUCGUCGGAGUGUUGCAGUCAAAGAGGAUCCACGUCUUUAUGCCCAAGUCCGUAGAAAUAGGUGAUUUUUUAGAAAGGUUUUAUAAGAUUACAAGAGUACAUGGAGUUAGUUAUAUCCCCCACCCCUAAAUAAAAAAGGAAAACAUACAAACUAUGAAAUAUCGCAUGGGCCUCCUGAACCCUUCAUUAUUUAUGGAGUAUUUAAUAAAAAGGGUAUUUGAGAAAAGCUGAUAUUACUGAUUGACGUAUAUGUUCAUUUCCACCAAUUAGUCUUAUGAUUAGCAGCGAGAAGAACUAAUUGAACAAUCUUCUAACCAAAUUGUUAACUCUGAGUUCAAGUUGAAUUUCCGUUCCUUGUGAAGGAAUUCGGCCCCCCACGGCAAGCCGCGGAAACGGCGACGGCCGAACGAAGUGCCGCUCUGCUGACGCCGCCUUCGCGAGUCAACCAGGAGGGCUGAUAUUCCGCGCGUUCACAUCUUGUGUUAACCCUUUGUACUGACUCCAUGUUCCAAAAGUUUGAAGAAGGCUCACCGAAAACAUGUUGACAAUUUAAUCAUCGACAAUGGUCAAAAAACAAGGCAAAAACAGACGACGGAGGGACAAUUCUGGAUCCAAAACAAGGCUACAUAGAAAAUGUUUCCGAGCAGCGAACUGUUAUCUCAGUGUCCAGUGUUUUUGAAGGCUGCGGUGGAGUGGGCUGGGCCGAAAGUGUGGCUGGGUGUUGUUUUGGGGUCAUCCCUCUAUGGCCGGUUUUGGGCGGUUAGGUUCGUGCGUCCUCCUUCGUGGCUGGGACGUGGUUGCCACAGCGACCGACGCCGGUCUUGACGUCCCAAGCGCCCGCUAUCAACUUGUUAUCCGGGCUGGGCGAGACGCUACUUGUUUUAGGACAGAGUGCCCUGCUUUUUGUCCUUGGAGUGGCCGGGAUAACUGAUUGCAAGAGUUGGUGCGUCAAUCUUGCUCGUGACGCACACAUUGGGCUUCUGUGAUAAAAGGGCGUUGUGUAACUAUUCUGCUUCUUUUCAUUAAACUAUGGUGUGCUAUUUAUUUUAGGUAUGUUAGGGGAGAAGGAAGUCUAGUCUAAUGUGCCCUACACUCAAAAAAAAUGAAACGUAGUAUCUAUGCAAGAAUCUUAUUUCAAGUUGUUACACACAACUGCUUUAAGUAACUAUUAUGUUUUUUAGUUAAAUAAAAUUGAUUUAAGUGAGACUUAAUAAACCACUUGAACAAGUUAAGCAAUUCCUAUCCGAACAUUUUACAUGCCAAAUAUGUAACAUCUCCUCUUAAAACAUAUGAAUUCAAUUUGUGUAAAGUUUACACACAAGAAUUAUUUACAUGUAACGUAAUUCGAUUACCCAGACAUUAAAAAACUACAUACAAAACUUUGUAUUGAAUUUAUUUUGUCUUCUCUUUAGGUUAAUGUGAUGAGAUCUUUUAUCUCAGACAAAGAUUUUUUUUUUAGGUUGUUCAUUUACCAAACAUGUUUUGGUAUGUUACUUCCGCUCUCAUCAGAAUGUCUGAGGUUAGAUUGAACCCACAAACCCAGAACUGUGAGGUGGACGUGCUAACCACACUCAAAAAAAAUGCACACGCACUAUUUUAACUUUUAAUGAAAUGUUUUUCAUUGUAUAUGGCGGAAAACACGGCUAAGACUGAAAAAGCAGUUUCUGUUCUUGCACCCCUCUUUAAAAUAAACUGCUUUAUUUUAAGCCAAAAGAACUGUUGUGUUUGAUAGAACAAAAUGUCUAUAUGCUGCCAUAGCAGAUUCAUGGUGCAUUAACCCCCGAACUAUUUUUAACUGGUCUGUUUUACCCUGGAAACCCCCGUUAACAGACGUCGCGCAAACGCUUUUGUUUCUAGCCAACCAUAAAACGAAGGUAAUUAAUUAUAUUAAUUAUUCAAAAUGUCUGUCAUUUUUAGCUUAGAAUCAUUAAUUGAUGUCUAAUAUUUCGCUAAAAAAACAAUAAACGACUUAAAAAAAAAUUAUUCACUCGCAUAUUUUAAACUUUUAAACAAAUUUCGUUACAGUAAAAAAAAAAGGCGUCUGUAAAAAAGUCACGGAUAUCUACCUCAUAACUAUCGCAUAUAUCGCUUAUAUUUUUUGUUACUGUCGAAUUUUGUCUGAUAUGUUAGAUGAUCAAUAAUCGGUCCAAAGAAAAAUUGAAAAAAAAACCAAACAUUUAAAUUGGUAAAUAUAUGAAAAAGAAAAUCUCGAACACUCCUUGAUGUCUGCUAUUUCUGCAUCGCGACUCUUGUUAUAUUACCAUGUUUCACCCAUAAAAUCCCCCCAAAAUCCAGCUGUGGCCAUUCACAGCUGUGUCUUGACACUCAGUGAUACAUGCUACAUGGAGUUUUUGGAUCGAAACAAGUAAAGUACGCGAAAAUAUCUCGUUAAAGUCAUGGCGUCUUUAAUUUUGUUUCGUAUUAAAUUGCUGACCCUGUUCUAAAACCAAAACAUUUGCAAACUGGAGUAAUGUUUCCCAUUGAUAUGAAUGGAAACACAAUUUUGUUCAUAUCAUUUUCAUCAUUGUGUGGUUACAAACGGACAAUCUUCUGUGCACUACAUGAUAAUUAAUUAUUAGUGUGUAUAUUAUUAUACAGUGUCUUGUGUUACAAGAGCCAUGCUGAGUACGGUACUGCUUAUCUUCAUGGACGACUGGUCCCAGACUUUUUGGUAAAAUCUUACCAGUUCCUUUUUGAUGUAUGGUAUAACUCCCCAAAAACCUUUUCAUUUGUGUGUGUGUUUGUGUUUUUUUUUUUUUUUUUUUUUUUUUUUGUGUGCUGAAUUUACCUGAUAUGCAAUCAAUUCACUUUUAGUGUGAGAUAUUUUUGUGCAAAUCAGGGAAAGAAAAACAUCUUGUGUCAUACUAUUGCUUUGUUUAAACGCAAAAACAAAACUGCAAUAAGAAGGGUAGUGCUCAAGUGUAGAAUUAUUCUUUUCUUACUUUCUUUUGAAAUGUUUUUACUCUACAUUUGUUUCAAGCAACAGUGUGUUCUGGCUUGCAUUACAUUGCAUUUCUGGUGUUUCCAAGGCUUACGACUGCAAGUGCUUCUUCACCUCUGCCAAUUUAUUACAUACAAACAAAUUGUGACUCACUUUUCUUAUUUAAUGGAAGGCUUUUUCAUAAAUGAAUGUAUUUAUUACAUUACCAUGUGUAAAAUAGUUGACGAGUCAGAACCAUAAUAAACCAAAAAUAAAAAUGCCUUUCGUUCACUUGUGUUGAUAUUUAUCUCCAUGUUACAAGAUUAAAAAAACAUCUUCCGUUCUCAGAAAAGUCACACUAAGAAGCAACGAUUGUUUCCACCAUGAUGCACGCACUGUACUUCUGCUUUCCUUUUAGAUUUUCUUCUAUUCUCACGUUAUAAGUCGGCUAGUUUAAUAAAUGUGUGCAUUCAAAACUGCGUCUUGGUACUUAAUAGAGAUUGACUGAUAUGGGUUUUCAGGACUGAUACUGAUUAUUAGUAUUUAAGAGUAUCUCGUUUUCGUCAUGUCAGGUGAAAACUUUCGUCUCAUUAUGUUUCAGACACGUUUUUAGGUCAUCCUGGUCGCAUCAUCGUCAUGAAAAAAAUUGUUCGUCAAAGAAAUAUUUUCAUUAUCGUCAUUGUUGACGAAAACAACACUAAUUUGCAAUGAUCUAAUGAACUUAGAGCACAUGCAGUCCACAACCUAGUGUAAGCUAUGCUACAGUCUUCAAACAUAAGGGUUACAAAU